rnacentral:rRNA from 1 species
CCUACGGGUGGCUGCAGUGAGGAAUAUUGGUCAAUGGGCGAGAGCCUGAACCAGCCAAGUCGCGUGAAGGAUGACGGCCCUACGGGUUGUAAACUUCUUUUGUCAGGGAGCAAUUGGGUCCACGCGUGGGCUUAGCGAGAGUACCUGAAGAAAAAGCAUCGGCUAACUCCGUGCCAGCAGCCGCGGUAAUACGGAGGAUGCGAGCGUUAUCCGGAUUUAUUGGGUUUAAAGGGUGCGUAGGCGGAAUAUCAAGUCAGCGGUAAAAAUUCGGGGCUCAACCCCGUCGUGCCGUUGAAACUGAUGUUCUUGAGUGGGCGAGAGGUAUGCGGAAUGCGUGGUGUAGCGGUGAAAUGCAUAGAUAUCGAGAGGAACACUCGUGGCGAAGGCGGGUUCCUGGACAUUAACUGACGCUGAGGCACGAAGGCCAGGGGAGCGAAAGGGAUUAGAUACCCGAGUAGUC